rnacentral:rRNA from 1 species
UACGGAGGGUGCGAGCGUUGUCCGGAAUCAUUGGGCGUAAGGGGCGCGUAGGUGGCCUGCUAAGUGUGCGGUGAAAGUCGGGGGCUCAACCCCCGAUCGGCCGUGCGAACUGGGAGGCUUGAGCACUGUAGAGGCAGGCGGAAUUCCGGGUGUAGCGGUGGAAUGCGUAGAGAUCCGGAAGAACACCGGUGGCGAAGGCGGCCUGCUGGGCAGUGUUGCUGACACUGAGGCGCGACAGCGUGGGGAGCAAACAGG